rnacentral:lncRNA from 1 species
UUUCUUAUGAGAAUCCAAAGAAAUUUUGAGUAAAGGAGGGAUAAGAACAACCAACAGUAUUCGAAGAAAGGAGGACGUGUACCAAAUAAAAAAUCAUCAACUGACGACCAGAGUCCAACAGCAGAAAUAUUAAGUUUACAAAAUCAUCGAACAAGUUCUUCUGAUGUCGUUGAGAUUGACAUGGUUUCUUACCAGGCUAAUGUUGCCAAGCUCAUUGACGUGUGUCGUGAUUUUGGUGACAAAAAAGCGUGAAAUAUUUGUGGACAUUUUGUGACUUUCGAAGGAAGAAGAAAAGCGAUAGUGUCUAACCAAUUUGAUAACGUUAACCAUCUUUUGAAAACGGCUUGUCCAGUUCUGAACCAACCGGAAUACCUUCAUGGAGAAUUCGAAAUGAUAAAGGGAGUUGGAAUAUGCCGUAAGUUUAUCGACAAUUGGACUGCCUGUGUACCUGCCAUUCUAAAGUAUGCGAUUCAGACGAUGAAAAAAGACGAUGCUGUGAGCAAAGUCUUUGCUAUGUACGGCAAAGAGAAACUCACACAGUUUGAGACCAAAGCAUGCAUUGCUUUAGAAAUUUUUCCCCUGCUGUUACCUG